AUACGGAGAAAGAAACACCGGGAUUGCCUUAGUAACGGCGAGUGAAGCGGCAAAAGCUCAAAUUUGAAAUCUGGUACCUUCGGUGCCCGAGUUGUAAUUUGGAGAGGGCAACUUUGGGGCCGUUCCUUGUCUAUGUUCCUUGGAACAGGACGUCAUAGAGGGUGAGAAUCCCGUGUGGCGAGGAGUGCGGUUCUUUGUAAAGUGCCUUCGAAGAGUCGAGUUGUUUGGGAAUGCAGCUCUAAGUGGGUGGUAAAUUCCAUCUAAAGCUAAAUAUUGGCGAGAGACCGAUAGCGAACAAGUACAGUGAUGGAAAGAUGAAAAGAACUUUGAAAAGAGAGUGAAAAAGUACGUGAAAUUGUUGAAAGGGAAGGGCAUUUGAUCAGACAUGGUGUUUUGUGCCCUCUGCUCCUUGUGGGUAGGGGAAUCUCGCAUUUCACUGGGCCAGCAUCAGUUUUGGUGGCAGGAUAAAUCCAUAGGAAUGUAGCUUGCCUCGGUAAGUAUUAUAGCCUGUGGGAAUACUGCCAGCUGGGACUGAGGACUGCGACGUAAGUCAAGGAUGCUGGCAUAAUGGUUAUAGCCGCC
rnacentral:rRNA from 1 species